rnacentral:rRNA from 1 species
AUGAUGUGGUUUAAUUCGAUGCAACGCGAAAACCUUACCACCUUGACAUGUACGGAACCUUUAGAGAUAGAGGGGUGCUCGAAAGAGAGCCGUAACACAGGUGCUGCAUGGCUGUCGUCAGCUCGUGUCGUGAGAUGUUGGGUUAAGUCCCGCAACGAGCGCAACCCUUGUCAUUAGUUGCUACAUUCAGUUGGGCACUCUAAUGAGACUGCCGGUGACAAGCCGGAGGAAGGUGGGGAUGACGUCAAGUCCUCAUGGCCCUUAUAGGUGGGGCUACACACGUCAUACAAUGGCUGGUACAAAGGGUUGCCAACCCGCGAGGGGGAGCCAAUCCCAUAAAGCCAGUCGUAGUCCGGAUCGUAGUCUGCAACUCGACUACGUGAAGUCGGAAUCGCUAGUAAUCGUGGAUCAGAAUGUCACGGUGAAUACGUUCCCGGGUCUU